rnacentral:tRNA from 1 species
CCUCCCCUGGUCGGCGCGGUGCAGCCGGUCCGGCUCCGGACCGCGCGGUGCAGUCGGUCCGACUCCGGAUCGCGCUGAUCGAUGCUGCGGGAGGCGUC